rnacentral:rRNA from 1 species
UAAAGCAAGAAAGGGCGUAUGGGGAAUGCCUAGGCACACUCCGGCGAAGAAGGACGCAGCAAACAGCGAAAUGCGACGGUGAGCGGUAAGCACGUGAAGAGCCGUCGAUAUCCGAAUGGGGGAACCCACACGGAGUCAUAUCCGUGUAUCACAUGUCGAAUACAUAGACAUGAUGAGGCGAGACGCAGGGAACUGAAACAUCUAAGUACCUGCAGGAAGAGAAAAUAAGAAUGAUUUUCUGAGUAGCGGCGAGCGAAAGGGAAAGAGCCCAAACCGAUUUUAGGAUCGGGGUAGUAGGAUCAUCGAUAAAUCUGACAGAGGAUCAUAGAGGAAUCACAUGGGAAGGUGAGCGAGAGAGGGUGAGAGCCCCGUACUCGAAAUGAGAGACUGGAGAGAGAUGACACCUGAGUAGGGCGGGACACGAGAAAUCCUGUCUGAAUCAGCCGGGACCAUCCGGCAAGGCUAAAUACGAGAGAGUGACCGAUAGUGAACCAGUACCGUGAGGGAAAGGUGAAAAGAACCCCGGGAGGGGAGUGAAAGAGAACCUGAAACCAUAUGCCUACAAGAAGUCAGAGCCCGUUAAAGGGUGAUGGCGUGCCUUUUGUAGAAUGAACCGGCGAGUUACUGUAUGGAGCGAGGUUAAGCAGGAUAUGCGGAGCCGAAGCGAAAGCGAGUCUUAAGAGGGCGCGAGUUGCAUGCAGUAGACCCGAAACCGGGUGAUCUAGCCAUGACCAGGUUGAAGUUGGGGUAAAACCCGAUGGAGGACCGAACCGACCCCCGUUGAAACGUUGGCGGAUGAGUUGUGGCUAGGGGUGAAAUUCCAAUCGAACCCGGAGAUAGCUGGUUCUCCCCGAAAUAGCUUUAGGGCUAGCGUCGAGAGAAGAGUUGCGUGAAGGUAGAGCACUGAAUAUGUGAUGGCCCCAUCUCGGGGUACUGAGCAUAAUCAAACUGCGAAUGUCACGCCAACAUGCUCGGCAGUCAGACAGCGGGUGAUAAGGUCCGUUGUCAAGAGGGAAACAGCCCAGACCAUCAGCUAAGGUCCCAAAAUGUAUGCUAAGUGGAAAAGGAUGUGGAGAUGUACAGACAACUAGGAGGUUGGCUCAGAAGCAGCCAUCCUUUAAAGAGUGCGUAACAGCUCACUAGUCGAAUGACUCUGCGCCGAUAAUUUACCGGGGCUAAGCAUACUACCGAAGCUAUGGAUCCCAAGGGAUGGUAGGGGAGCGUUCCAUGAACGGAGAAGUACGACCGAAAGGACGUGUGGAGAUCAUGGAAGAGAGAAUGCCGGUGUGAGUAGCGGAACGUGGGUGAGAAUCCCACGCACCGAAAACCCAAGGUUUCCAGAGGAAGGUUCGUCCGCUCUGGGUAAGUCGGGACCUAAGGCGAGGCCGAAAGGCGUAGUCGAUGGACAACAGGUAGAGAUUCCUGUACCCGUAUAUAUGUGAAGGAAUGACGGAGAGAGGAAGCUGCAGCCAGCGGCUGGAAGAGCUGGUGCAAGCGAGAUAUCGGGAUGGCAGGCAAAUCCACCAUCCGAAACGAGAAGGCGUGAAGCGUACGGAAAGCUACGGCGAGUACGGAAGGCAGUGGAGGAACUUCCAAGAAAAGUUUCUAACGUUAAGUAUAUAUGGCCCGUACCGAAAAUGGACACACAUGGGUGAGGAGAGAAUCCUAAGGUGAGCGAGAGAACUAUAGCUAAGGAACUCUGCAAAAUGACUCCGUAACUUAGGGAGAAGGAGUGCUCAUAGAGAUAUGAGCCGCAGUGAAACGGCCCAAGCGACUGUUUACCAAAAACACAGCUCUCUGCUAAGCCGCAAGGCGAAGUAUAGGGGGUGACGCCUGCCCGGUGCUGGAAGGUUAAGGGGAGGGGUUAACGCAAGUGAAGCCCUGAACUGAAGCCCCAGUAAACGGCGGCCGUAACUAUAACGGUCCUAAGGUAGCGAAAUUCCUUGUCAGGUAAGUUCUGACCCGC